UACGGGGGGGGCAAGCGUUGUUCGGAAUCACUGGGCGUAAAGGGAGCGUAGGCGGCGUGGUAAGUCAGAUGUGAAAUCCCGGGGCUCAACCCCGGAACUGCAUCCGAUACUGCCAUGCUAGAGGAUUGGAGAGGUAGCUGGAAUUCUUGGUGUAGCAGUGAAAUGCGUAGAGAUCAAGAGGAACACUCGUGGCGAAAGCGAGCUACUGGACAAUUCCUGACGCUGAGGCUCGAAGGCUAGGGUAGCGAAAGGG
rnacentral:rRNA from 1 species